AGCAAAUUAGGGCCUAAUCUUUAUGUUUACUCUUUAAUUCAAAGAAGUGAAUUAUGUGUUUACAUACAGUAUUUAUGUCUUUAUCAGUCUUGCGUUUUUUUCAACUUUACUGCUUGAAAACCUAGGAAUUCAAGACAUACUAAUGUAUUACUUGUUUCUAACCACUUAGAAUUCCAGCAUGUGAGAUUUUACAAAAACAUUUCCGUUUGCAUGUAAACAGAAGAUAACUGAAGAAUGUAUGAUUUUUUCCAGUAAAAUUAACUACAUUCAAUCUUAAAUUCCGAACCACCCAUUGCCUGCCUUGCCCUCCAUCCUGUGCUUAUAAAAACUUCAUACCCAGCUGGCAGAGAGGAGAAGCAGCUGGACAUCAGAGACUAUGGCUGGAUGUUGAACUUUUCCUUUACAGAAAAAAACACUUUAGGUAUGAAGGCAGUGGCUCAGAUAAUGCUCAGAGGGCUGAAACGUGCCUGAUAUUUCAUAUCAACUCUCUUCUUUCUAAAGUCAUCUCACUACUCUUGGGAAAUGACUUGGUUUUUAAAGAUCGCUGGAGGGAAGGAUUACAACAUCCUGGUUUAACCAUCCUUCCUGCUACAACUAAAAUUGUACAUUAUUAAUUAUGUUGAACAUUCUUCAUUAUGUAUUUCCUAAAGUUGGUCUCACUCUGAAGUUUAAGAGAUAAUUGAAGGAAGGCAUCACUCCAAAUGAAUUAUGAACAUUUUGUGCUUUUUUCACUUGCUUUUGUUAUUUUAAAUGAUAAAAGAAUUCAUUAAUAUAGUCUCAUUGUAAAAAGUUAAAUAAAACAGCAGCUACAGAG
rnacentral:lncRNA from 13 species